AGAAUGAACGCUAGCGAUAUGCUUAACACAUGCAAGUUGAACGUUGUUUUCGAAUCAGAAUGAGAACAAAGUAGCGAACGGGUGCGUAACACGUGGGAAUCUGCCGAACAGUUUGGGCCAAAUCCCGAAUGAAUAAAAGCUAAAAAGCGCUGUUUGAUGAGCCCACGUAGUAUUAGGUAGUUGGUUAGGUAAAAGCUGACCAAGCCUACGAUGCUUAGCUGGUCUUUUCGGAUGAUCAGCCACACUGGGACUGAGACACGGCCCAGACUCCUACGGGAGGCAGCAGUGGGGAAUCUUGGACAAUGGGCGAAAGCCUGAUCCGGCAAUAUGGCGUGAGUGAAGAAGGGCAACGCAGCUUGUAAAGCUCUUUCAUCGAGUGUGCGAUUGUGACAAGACUCGAAUAAGAACGCCCGGCUAACCUCCGCGCCAGCAGCCGC
rnacentral:rRNA from 1 species